CCUACGGGAGGCAGCAGUGGGGAAUAUUGCACAAUGGGGGAAACCCUGAUGCAGCGACGCCGCGUGAGCGAUGAAGUAUUUCGGUAUGUAAAGCUCUAUCAGCAGGGAAGAAGAUGACGGUACCUGACUAAGAAGCCCCGGCCAACUACGUGCCAGCAGCCGCGGGAAUACGUAGGGGGCAAGCGGUAUCCGGAUGUACUGGGUGUAAAGGGAGCGUAGACGGGGAUGCAAGCCAGAUGUGAAAGCCCGGGGCUCAACCCCGGGACUGCAUUUGGAACUGUGUGGCUGGAGUGUCGGAGAGGCAAGCGGAAUUCCUGGUGUAGCGGUGAAAUGCGUAGAUAUUAGGAGGAACACCAGUGGCGAAGGCGGCCUGCUGGACGAUGACUGACGUUGAGGCUCGAAAGCGUGGGGAGCAAACAGGAUUAGAUACCCCGGUAGUC
rnacentral:rRNA from 1 species